GGGCUGGAGAGAUGGCUCAGCCGUUAAAGGCUAGGCUCA
rnacentral:piRNA from 1 species